rnacentral:rRNA from 1 species
UACAGAGGUCCCAAGCGUUGUUCGGAUUCACUGGGCGUAAAGGGUGCGCAGGUGGGUUGGCAAGUUCGAUGUGAAAGCCCCGGGCUUAACCCGGGAAUGGCAUUGGAUACUGUUGAUCUGGAGGGUCGGAGGGGGGACUGGAAUUCUUGGUGUAGCAGUGAAAUGCGUAGAUAUCAUGAGGAACACCAGAGGCGAAGGCGACUUCCUGGACAAUUGCUGACGCUCAGGCACGAAAGCAUGGGGAGCAAAAGGG